rnacentral:lncRNA from 1 species
UUCCUCAGCAGGUCACUCGCCCUUCUUUGUCCAACACCGUUUGAACAAUCGAGACCUUUCAACAAGCUCCAUUCCUGCACCCCUCUCACCCCCAACACCCAGAACAAGAAGAAGGAGUCUGCUUCCAAACACUGCAGCAUUCAAACCAGUCCCUGAAGUCCACACCUUACUGUCCUCAUUAUCAGCACCAGGACACCUAAGGAUUCCUUGCCUUCAACAGUCCUAAUGGAGUCUCCAGUUGGGCCUUCUGACUCUUAGCUCCUCUGAUGUGGACAUCGCUCCUGUUGGCUCAGGUACCCGGGCCUGGCAUUUGCCAAGUCUUGUUCAUCAUCCCAGGGACAUGAGUCAUUACAACAUAUAGAGGAAAUGUUUCUGGCAGCAUGCACGUCUGAUCCCUGCAAGUAGCAGCAUCAGGAGGAUAGGAAUGCUUUGGAAGAAAUUCAGGUCUAUUUCUCACAUAGGCAUCUAUGUUUCCUUUGUCCAUGCAGCUCUUGAAAUUGUGGGAAAAUGGUGCAUUGGUAACAUAAAGAGGG